rnacentral:rRNA from 1 species
UACGGGGGGGGGGCAAGCGUUGUUCGGAAUUACUGGGCGUACAGGGAGCGUAGGCGGUUGGGUAAGCCCUUCGUGAAAUCUCCGGGCCUAACCCGGAAAGUGCGGAGGGGACUGCUCGGCUAGAGGAUGGGAGAGGAGCGCGGAAUUCCCGGUGUAGCGGUGAAAUUCGUAGAUAUCGGGAGGAACACCAGUGGCGAAGGCGGCUCUCUGGGCAGAUACUGACGCUGAGACGCGAAAGCAUGGGGAGCAAACAGG